ensembl:miRNA Mir7223 microRNA 7223
UAGCUUUGCUGAGGUGUCGGGGUGUGUCAUACCCACACUGGUAACAUUCCCUGUCUCGAACAAGCUAGG